rnacentral:rRNA from 1 species
AUGGGCGCCACGUCGUACGAGAGGCUGUCGAGCCACGCCGCCGGGAGCGGGCGCGGAGGGGGAGGGCUCGGGGCGUGGGCGGCGCUGAGGCGCGGGCUGGCGCGGCUGUGCGCCGCGCGGCGCGGGCGGGCGCGGGGGAGGAGCUGGCGCGGCCGCAGGAGGGUGGCGGCCGGGUGCGGGUACGACUCCGAGGGCUACGCGCGCAACUUCGACGACGGGCUGUGGAAGGCGGAGGAGGGCGCGCCGUGGAGGGCCGCGGGGCCGGCGAUCGGCGCCUGCAGGCUCGCCCGCGCCGUGUCCUCCCUCCAGUGA